rnacentral:tRNA from 2 species
GGGAAUGUGGUCUAAUGGUAUGACGUUUCCUUAGCAUCAAUCGAUCAAUCUCGAUUGGAAAAGGUUCGGGGUUCGAUUCCCUGCAUUUCCA